rnacentral:rRNA from 1 species
AGAGUUUGAUCAUGGCUCAGGAUGAACGCUGGCGGCGUGCCUAACACAUGCAAGUCGAGCGAAGCACUUUAAUUCGAUUCUUCGGAUGAAGAUUUUUGUGACUGAGCGGCGGACGGGUGAGUAACGCGUGGGCAACCUGCCUUACACAGGGGGAUAACAGUUAGAAAUGACUGCUAAUACCGCAUAAGACCGCAGUACCGCAUGGUACAGCGGUAAAAACUCCGGUGGUGUAAGAUGGGCCCGCGUCUGAUUAGGUAGUUGGCGGGGUAACGGCCCACCAAGCCGACGAUCAGUAGCCGACCUGAGAGGGUGACCGGCCACAUUGGGACUGAGACACGGCCCAGACUCCUACGGGAGGCAGCAGUGGGGAAUAUUGCACAAUGGGGGAAACCCUGAUGCAGCGACGCCGCGUGAGCGAUGAAGUAUUUCGGUAUGUAAAGCUCUAUCAGCAGGGAAGAAAAUGACGGUACCUGACUAAGAAGCCCCGGCUAACUACGUGCCAGCAGCCGCGGUAAUACGUAGGGGGCAAGCGUUAUCCGGAUUUACUGGGUGUAAAGGGAGCGUAAACGGCUGUGCAAGCCAGAUGUGAAAGCCCGGGGCUCAACCCCGGGACUGCAUUUGGAACUGUGUGGCUGG